UACGAAGGGUGCAAACGUUGCUCGGAAUUAUUGGGCGUAAAGCGCACGUAGGCGGCUUUGUAAGUCGGAUGUGAAAUCCCUCGGCUUAACCAAGGAAGUGCAUCCGAAACUACAGAGCUUGAGUACUUAAGAGGAUCGCGGAAUUCCCGGUGUAGAGGUGAAAUUCGUAGAUAUCGGGAGGAACACCUGUGGCGAAAGCGGCUCACUGGACCACAACUGACGCUGAGGCGCGAAAGCUAGGGGAGCAAACAGG
rnacentral:rRNA from 1 species